rnacentral:rRNA from 1 species
GGUUAAGCGACUAAGCGUACACGGUGGAUGCCCUGGCAGUCAGAGGCGAUGAAGGACGUGCUAAUCUGCGAUAAGCGUCGGUAAGGUGAUAUGAACCGUUAUAACCGGCGAUUUCCGAAUGGGGAAACCCAGUGUGAUUCGUCACACUAUCAUUAACUGAAUCCAUAGGUUAAUGAGGCGAACCGGGGGAACUGAAACAUCUAAGUACCCCGAGGAAAAGAAAUCAACCGAGAUUCCCCCAGUAGCGGCGAGCGAACGGGGAGCAGCCCAGAGCCUGAAUCAGUGUGUGUGUUAGUGGAAGCGUCUGGAAAGGCGCGCGAUACAGGGUGACAGCCCCGUACACAAAAAUGCACAUACUGUGAGCUCGAUGAGUAGGGCGGGACACGUGGUAUCCUGUCUGAAUAUGGGGGGACCAUCCUCCAAGGCUAAAUACUCCUGACUGACCGAUAGUGAACCAGUACCGUGAGGGAAAGGCGAAAAGAACCCCGGCGAGGGGAGUGAAAAAGAACCUGAAACCGUGUACGUACAAGCAGUGGGAGCCUCUUAAUGGGGUGACUGCGUACCUUUUGUAUAAUGGGUCAGCGACUUAUAUUCUGUAGCAAGGUUAACCGAAUAGGGGAGCCGAAGGGAAACCGAGUCUUAACUGGGCGUUAAGUUGCAGGGUAUAGACCCGAAACCCGGUGAUCUAGCCAUGGGCAGGUUGAAGGUUGGGUAACACUAACUGGAGGACCGAACCGACUAAUGUUGAAAAAUUAGCGGAUGACUUGUGGCUGGGGGUGAAAGGCCAAUCAAACCGGGAGAUAGCUGGUUCUCCCCGAAAGCUAUUUAGGUAGCGCCUCGUGAAUUCAUCUCCGGGGGUAGAGCACUGUUUCGGCAAGGGGGUCAUCCCGACUUACCAACCCGAUGCAAACUGCGAAUACCGGAGAAUGUUAUCACGGGAGACACACGGCGGGUGCUAACGUCCGUCGUGAAGAGGGAAACAACCCAGACCGCCAGCUAAGGUCCCAAAGUCAUGGUUAAGUGGGAAACGAUGUGGGAAGGCCCAGACAGCCAGGAUGUUGGCUUAGAAGCAGCCAUCAUUUAAAGAAAGCGUAAUAGCUCACUGGUCGAGUCGGCCUGCGCGGAAGAUGUAACGGGGCUAAACCAUGCACCGAAGCUGCGGCAGCGACACUAUGUGUUGUUGGGUAGGGGAGCGUUCUGUAAGCCUGUGAAGGUGUACUGUGAGGUAUGCUGGAGGUAUCAGAAGUGCGAAUGCUGACAUAAGUAACGAUAAAGCGGGUGAAAAGCCCGCUCGCCGGAAGACCAAGGGUUCCUGUCCAACGUUAAUCGGGGCAGGGUGAGUCGACCCCUAAGGCGAGGCCGAAAGGCGUAGUCGAUGGGAAACAGGUUAAUAUUCCUGUACUUGGUGUUACUGCGAAGGGGGGACGGAGAAGGCUAUGUUGGCCGGGCGACGGUUGUCCCGGUUUAAGCGUGUAGGCUGGUUUUCCAGGCAAAUCCGGAAAAUCAAGGCUGAGGCGUGAUGACGAGGCACUACGGUGCUGAAGCAACAAAUGCCCUGCUUCCAGGAAAAGCCUCUAAGCAUCAGGUAACAUCAAAUCGUACCCCAAACCGACACAGGUGGUCAGGUAGAGAAUACCAAGGCGCUUGAGAGAACUCGGGUGAAGGAACUAGGCAAAAUGGUGCCGUAACUUCGGGAGAAGGCACGCUGAUAUGUAGGUGAAGUCCCUCGCGGAUGGAGCUGAAAUCAGUCGAAGAUACCAGCUGGCUGCAACUGUUUAUUAAAAACACAGCACUGUGCAAACACGAAAGUGGACGUAUACGGUGUGACGCCUGCCCGGUGCCGGAAGGUUAAUUGAUGGGGUUAGCGGUAACGCGAAGCUCUUGAUCGAAGCCCCGGUAAACGGCGGCCGUAACUAUAACGGUCCUAAGGUAGCGAAAUUCCUUGUCGGGUAAGUUCCGACCUGCACGAAUGGCGUAAUGAUGGCCAGGCUGUCUCCACCCGAGACUCAGUGAAAUUGAACUCGCUGUGAAGAUGCAGUGUACCCGCGGCAAGACGGAAAGACCCCGUGAACCUUUACUAUAGCUUGACACUGAACAUUGAGCCUUGAUGUGUAGGAUAGGUGGGAGGCUUUGAAGUGUGGACGCCAGUCUGCAUGGAGCCGGCCUUGAAAUACCACCCUUUAAUGUUUGAUGUUCUAACGUUGGCCCCUGAUCGGGGUUGCGGACAGUGUCUGGUGGGUAGUUUGACUGGGGCGGUCUCCUCCUAAAGAGUAACGGAGGAGCACGAAGGUUGGCUAAUCCUGGUCGGACAUCAGGAGGUUAGUGCAAUGGCAUAAGCCAGCUUGACUGCGAGCGUGACGGCGCGAGCAGGUGCGAAAGCAGGUCAUAGUGAUCCGGUGGUUCUGAAUGGAAGGGCCAUCGCUCAACGGAUAAAAGGUACUCCGGGGAUAACAGGCUGAUACCGCCCAAGAGUUCAUAUCGACGGCGGUGUUUGGCACCUCGAUGUCGGCUCAUCACAUCCUGGGGCUGAAGUAGGUCCCAAGGGUAUGGCUGUUCGCCAUUUAAAGUGGUACGCGAGCUGGGUUUAGAACGUCGUGAGACAGUUCGGUCCCUAUCUGCCGUGGGCGCUGGAGAACUGAGGGGGGCUGCUCCUAGUACGAGAGGACCGGAGUGGACGCAUCACUGGUGUUCGGGUUGUCAUGCCAAUGGCACUGCCCGGUAGCUAAAUGCGGAAGAGAUAAGUGCUGAAAGCAUCUAAGCACGAAACUUGCCCCGAGAUGAGUUCUCCCUGACCCUUUAAGGGUCCUGAAGGAACGUUGAAGACGACGACGUUGAUAGGCCGGGUGUGUAAGCGCAGCGAUGCGUUGAGCUAACCGGUACUAAUGAACCGUGAGGCUUAACCUU